rnacentral:rRNA from 1 species
ACACAUGCAAGUCGAGGGGCAGCAUCAUCAAAGAUUGCUUUGAUGGAUGGCGACCGGCGCACGGGUGAGUAACACGUAUCCAACCUGCCGACAACACUGGGAUAGCCUUUCGAAAGAAAGAUUAAUACCGGAUGGCAUAAUUAUUCCGCAUGGGAUAAUUAUUAAAGAAUUUCGGUUGUCGAUGGGGAUGCGUUCCAUUAGGCAGUUGGCGGGGUAACGGCCCACCAAACCUACGAUGGAUAGGGGUUCUGAGAGGAAGGUCCCCCACAUUGGAACUGAGACACGGUCCAAACUCCUACGGGAGGCAGCAGUGAGGAAUAUUGGUCAAUGGACGAGAGUCUGAACCAGCCAAGUAGCGUGAAGGAUGACUGCCCUAUGGGUUGUAAACUUCUUUUAUACGGGAAUAAAGUGAGCCACGUGUGGCUUUUUGUAUGUACCGUAUGAAUAAGGAUCGGCUAACUCCGUGCCAGCAGCCGCGGUAAUACGGAGGAUCCGAGCGUUAUCCGGAUUUAUUGGGUUUAAAGGGAGCGUAGGCGGGUUGUUAAGUCAGUUGUGAAAGUUUGCGGCUCAACCGUAAAAUUGCAGUUGAUACUGGCGACCUUGAGUGCAACAGAGGUAGGCGGAAUUCGUGGUGUAGCGGUGAAAUGCUUAGAUAUCACGAAGAACUCCGAUUGCGAAGGCAGCUUACUGGAUUGUAACUGACGCUGAUGCUCGAAAGUGUGGGUAUCAAACAGGAUUAGAUACCCUGGUAGUCCACACAGUAAACGAUGAAUACUCGCUGUUGGCGAUAUACAGUCAGCGGCCAAGCGAAAGCAUUAAGUAUUCCACCUGGGGAGUACGCCGGCAACGGUGAAACUCAAAGGAAUUGACGGGGG